rnacentral:rRNA from 1 species
GUGAGGAAUAUUGGUCAAUGGACGAGAGUCUGAACCAACCAAGUCGCGUGAAGGAAGACGGUUCUAUGAAUUGUAAACUUCUUUUGUGCAGGAAUAAAGUGGGUUACGUGUAACCUUUUGUAUGUACUGUACGAAUAAGGAUCGGCUAACUCCGUGCCAGCAGCCGCGGUAAUACGGAGGAUCCGAGCGUUAUCCGGAUUUAUUGGGUUUAAAGGGUGCGUAGGUGGAUUGAUAAGUCAGCGGUGAAAGUUUGCAGCUUAACUGUAAAAUUGCCGUUGAAACUGUCGGUCUUGAGUGCAAAUGAGGUAGGCGGAAUGUGUUGUGUAGCGGUGAAAUGCUUAGAUAUAACACAGAACUCCGAUUGCGAAGGCAGCUUACUGGGAUGCAACUGACACUGAUGCACGAAAGCGUGGGUAUCAAACAGGAUUAGAAACCCUGGUAGUCC